rnacentral:misc_RNA from 1 species
CCCGGACGCAAAAACCUGUUCAAAAUCAAUUUAAUCUUACAUAUCCAUGAAACGACAGAGCCGUACUCUAUAAUUUUUUCCGUUUUGUAUACCUUUUACAUGCGCUCCACUCCAAUAAAAAACAAUUAGAGAAAAAGAGUCUCGAUAUCUGUGCACAGAGGAGGAAGAAGCACAAGCAGAAGCUGCUUCAUUCCAAUCCAUGGCUGUUUUCUUCUCUUGGCUUCUCCCAUUCAUUCUCUAGCGAGCUCAUUCUCUACUUCUCUAGCUGCUUUAAGGGUAUUUUUACAGUGUAGUGUUGUCACUUCAAUCGACCUAGGGAGGAGGGAAAAAGAAGAAAUGCAAAACCGAAUCUAAUAAAGGCUGGUUGCAUUUUUUUUGUUUUAUUUUUCUCAUUUCUCUGUACAUUGUGUGCUCUUUUGUUAUAUUUUCUCUCUAAUUCACUUGUCUGUUAUUGAGGACUGAAUUGAUUCUAUGAUUAAUCCCCUGCACUGCUUGUUAACUAAUAACUAGGAACAUAUUUUCUCCGGGGUGAAAAAAGAUAGGAACAUAUUCUCCUGGAAGCAUUUCCGUGGCCUGGAAACAAAGCAAUUAGUAACUACUGUUGGUUUCCUGGCUUUCUCGUCAGGGUCCAGACAAAAUGAGUGCACGAUGGAGCGGGUUUUGAAAAAAUGUUUUUUUUAAAUAUUGUAAAUCUUACUAACCCCACAAAUUAACAUCAGUGAAGGUUCCUAAUUUCACGGCAAA